rnacentral:rRNA from 1 species
UACGUGGGGUGCGAGCGUUGUUCGGAAUUACUGGGCGUAAAGCGCGUGUAGGCGGCUUAUUAUGUCAGGUGUGAAAGCCCUCGGACCUAACCCGAGGAAGUGGCGCCUGAAACUGAUAGCUUGAGUACGAGAGAGGAGGACGGAAUUCCCAGUGUAGAGGUGAAAUUCGUAGAUAUUGGGAAGGAACACCGGUGGCGAAAGCGGUUCUCUGGAUCGAUACUGACGCUAAGAGCGAAAGCGUGGGG